AUUGAACGCUGGCGGCAUGCCUUACACAUGCAAGUCGAACGGCAGCACGGGAGCAAUCCUGGUGGCGAGUGGCGAACGGGUGAGUAAAGUAUCGGAACGUGCCCAGUCGUGGGGGAUAACGUAGCGAAAGUUACGCUAAUACCGCAUACGAUCUAUGAAUGAAAGCGGGGGAUCGCAAGACCUCGCGCGAUUGGAGCGGCCGAUAUCAGAUUAGGUAGUUGGUGGGGUAAAGGCUCACCAAGCCGACGAUCUGUAGCUGGUCUGAGAGGACGACCAGCCACACUGGGACUGAGACACGGCCCAGACUCCUACGGGAGGCAGCAGUGGGGAAUUUUGGACAAUGGGCCCAAGCCUGAUCCAGCCAUGCCGCGUGCAGGAUGAAGGCCUUCGGGUUGUAAACUGCUUUUGUACGGAACGAAAAGGUUUGACUUAAUACGUUGGACUCAUGACGGUACCGUAAGAAUAAGCACCGGCUAACUACGUGCCAGCCGCCGCCGUAACAC
rnacentral:rRNA from 1 species